rnacentral:lncRNA from 1 species
GUCAUUUCUCACAUGAGGUCCCGGCGAGAAGGACCUGCUUCCAUCAGAUUCACACUUGGGAGAGGGGCCCGGCCUCCAGGAGCGCCAGGCAGAAAGGGCACCCAUUAGGAAGAAGAACACAGAGGCCAUGGGAGUGAAAAGUUUGAUGCUGGAAAGCAACAGUAGCACAUUCUGCUACAGAGCGGAAUGAAAAACCCUGGGGAGCAAAUUCCUGAGCCAGAGAAUGGAGCGGAGGAACCAGCCAAGGAGGAUAAAGAGACUUAGCCUAGAAAAUAAUGAAGAAGGACAGAAAGAGAAUACCAUUCUACUACACCCGCUGAUGACUUAAAAAAACUACCUGCUGUCAUCAGG